UACAGAGGGGGCAAGCGUUGUUCGGAAUUACUGGGCGUAAAGGGCGCGUAGGCGGCCUCUUAAGUCGAACGUGAAAUCCCCGGGCUCAACCCGGGAACUGCGUCCGAUACUGGGAGGCUUGAAUCCGGGAGAGGGAUGUGGAAUUCCAGGUGUAGCGGUGAAAUGCGUAGAUAUCUGGAGGAACACCGGUGGCGAAGGCGGCUUUCUGGACGACAACUGACGCUGAGACGCGAAAGCGUGGGGAGCAAACAGG
rnacentral:rRNA from 1 species